rnacentral:rRNA from 1 species
CNACAAGGAUUCCCUUAGUAACUGCGAGUGAACCGGGAAGAGCCCAGCACCGAAUCCCUCAGCACGAUGCUGACGGGAAGUGUGGUGUUUAGAGUGAUCAUUGUGCGUUGCACUGGCGUCUAAGUCUUCUUGACUGGGGUUUGAUGGCCCAGAGCGGGUGUCAGGCCUUUAAGGCGCUGGUUUGGCGUGCAUUGUUUGCUCGAAGAGUCGGGUUGUUUCUGAGUACAACCCAAAGUAGGUGGUAAACUCCAUCUAAGGCUAAAUAUGAGUACGAGUCCGAUAGCGAACAAGUACCGUGAGGGAAAGUUGCAAAGAACUUUGAAGAGAGAGUUCAAGAGUACGUGAAACCGCCCGGAGUGAAGCGGAUGAGCCCACAUGGUUGCUUGUUGGAAUCAAUUGUAUGGCUAGGACACACGGUUAGUUGUCGCAUGUACUGCGAGGUAUGUGGGCAGCUGAUCGUGUGUUUUCUGUCCUCCUGGCUGUGCAAUGUACUUCUGACUUGCGAUGUGCCACGAGUGGUAGCCUGGCAACUAGAAGCGACAUGAGCAGGUAACACCAUUGGUCCAGUCUGUGGUCUAGUUGGUGUGAGGCUUGUGUUAAAUUUAGCUUGCUCAGUGCUACCUAGGACAGCUUGUGCUCAGCUGCAGCGGUUUGUGCUACCGCUUCGCGCGUAGGGGCACGUAGGCUGCUCAGGUGGAUGUGUGUUAUUCGGGACUGCUGUGCAGUGUCGCGUAGCGCAUGUCUACAUAUUGUAUGGGUAGCUUCGUUUGCAAGUGAAUUGUAACGAAUUGCUGUUCGGUGGCCAGUUGGUAACUCAACCGUCCCGUCUUGAAACACGGACCAAGGAGUUCAGCAUGCAGGCGAGUCUGAGGGUGAUGCAAAACCCGAAGGCGCAGUGAAAGCGAAGGCUGCCUUGGGCAGCUUAGAUGUGAUCCGUUGAUUAGCGAGAGCUAUCACGGCGCAACAUCGUCUCGUCGUGACCUUGUGUGGGUGCGGCGAAGAUUGAGCCUGCACGCUGUGACCCGAAAGAUGGUGAACUAUGCUAGAGGAGGACGAAGCCAGAGGAAACUCUGGUGGAGGUCCGAAGCGAUUCUAACGUGCAAAUUGAUCGUCAGACUUUGGUAUAGCGGCGAAAGACUAAUCGAACCAUCUAGUAGCUGGUUCCCUCCGAAGUUUCUCUCAGGAUAGCUGGCACUCGCUUUGAUUUUUACCCGGUAAAGCGAAUGAUUAGAGUGUUUUGGGUUGAAAAGAUCUAAACCUAUUCUCAAACUGUAAAUGGAUGAGUUGUUUGACUCUCUUGACUGGAGUCGGAUUCUGUGUGAAUCUGUGAAGUGCCAAGUGGGCCAUUUUUGGUAAGCAGAACUGGCGCUGUGGGAUGAACCAAACGUCUGGUUAAGGUGCCUAACGGACGCUCAUUGGAAAACACAAAAGGUGUUGGUUGAUUAAGACAGCAGGACGGUGGUCAUGGAAGUCGAAAUCCGCUAAGGAGUGUGUAACAACUCACCUGCCGAAUCAACCAGCCCUGAAAAUGGAUAGCGCUUGAGCGUCGGACCGAUACCGGACAGUCACAGCAGGUGAAGCAGUAAGCAAGCUGUGACUAGUAGGAGGGUACUGUGGUGAACGUAGAAGCCUUGGGCGUGAGCCCAGGUGGAGUUGCCACGGGUACAGAUCUUGGUGGUAGUAGCAAGUAUUCAAGUGAGAUCCUUGAAGACUGAUGUGUGGAGAAGGGUUCCAUGUGAACAGCAGUUGAACAUGGGUCAGUCGACCCUAAGAGAUAGGACAAUUCCGUUCUGAGGAAGACGAUUCUGAUCGUCUGUUUUAUCGAAAGGGAAUCUGGUUAAUAUUCCAGAACCUGGUACGGAGAUCGUCCUCGCAAGGGGACAGUUCUGGUAACAGAAGCCUGCUUGGAGAAGCGUGUCACCGUUCCGGGAAGAGUUAUCUCUUCUUUGUUAAGGUACGUGUCCCAUGGAAUCGGCUUGGCCGGAGAUAUGGGCGUUAGUACCUGUAAAGCAUCGCGUUCUACGCGGUGUCCGGUGCGCUGUGGCCCGCCCUAGAAAAUCUGAGUGGGAGAAAGAUUUUCGUACCAGAUCGUACCGAUAUCCGCAGCUGGUCUCCAAGGUGAACAGCCUCUAGUUUCUGGAAGAAUGUAGGUAAGGGAAGUCGGCAAGUUUGAUCCGUAACUUUGGGAAAAGGAUUGGCUCUGAUGACUGGGCCGAUCGGGUUGUUGUAUUAAGCUGAGGUGGAAGCGGUUUGCGCUGACUGGUCGGUUGUCUUCGGGCGGCAUGGCUGUGUCGGCGUGGGCCGGCGACUCUUCAGUGGCGUGCAGCAACUUUGCGGUCGCAGCCUCGUGUUGCGAUUCGCGUCGAUUGGCGCUAAACAGUCGAAUCAGAACUGGCACGGAACCAGAGAAUCCGACUGUAUAAUUAAAACAAAGCAUUGCGAUGGCCAUUGUUGGUGAUGACGCAAUGUGAUUUCUGCCCAGUGCCAUGAAUGUCAAAGUGAAGAAAUUCAACGAAGCGCUGGUAAACGGCGGGAGUAACUAUGACUCUCUUAAGGUAGCCAAAUGCCUCGUCAUCUAAUUAGUGACGCGCAUGAAUGGAUCAACGAGAUUCGCACUGUCCCUAUCUACUAUCUAUCGAAACCACAGUCCGGGGAACGGGCCGGACAGAAUCAGCGGGGAAAGAAGACCCUGUUGAGCUUGACUCUAGUCUGACAUUGUGAAGAGACAUGAGAGGUGUAGCAUAAGUGGGAGCGCAAGCGAAAUUGAAAUACCACUACUCUUAUCGUUUCUUUACUUACUCGGUUGUGUGGAAGUUGGCCUGUGCGCCAAGCUUCUGGCGGCAAGUAUCGGUGUGCCUGCGCAGGCGCUCGGUACGAUCCGUUCUGAGGACAGUGUCAGGUGGGGAGUUUGACUGGGGCGGUACAUCUGUAAAAGAGUAACGCAGGUGUCCCAAGGUGAGCUCAGCGAGGACAGAAACCUCGCGUAGAGCAAAAGGGCAAAUGCUCACUUGAUUUUGAUUUUCAGUACGAAUACAGACCGUGAAAGCGUGGCCUAUCGAUCCUUUUGACGUUAUGAGUUUUUACCAAGAGGUGUCAGAAAAGUUACCACAGGGAUAACUGGCUUGUGGCAGCCAAGCGUUCAUAGCGACGUUGCUUUUUGAUCCUUCGAUGUCGGCUCUUCCUAUCAUUGCGUAGCAGCAUUCGCAAAGUGUUGGAUUGUUCACCCACCAAUAGGGAACGUGAGCUGGGUUUAGACCGUCGUGAGACAGGUUAGUUUUACCCUACUGAUGUGUUGUCUUUGCUAUGGAAAUCCUGUUUAGUACGAGAGGAACACCAGGUUCAGACCAAUGGCAUGUACACUUGGCCGAAAGGCCAAUGGUGCGACGCUACAUCUGUUUGAUAAUGAC